rnacentral:rRNA from 1 species
UUUUUAAUAAAUUUUUGCGCCGCGCGAGAAACGAUGACGCACGUGCGCGGUAUUUAUUAAACAAUGUUUCUUAUUUUUGGCGUUUGCGGUAAGUUAUAGCUUGCGGCGCGGUACUCACGCGUCUAGGGGCGGCGUUGCGGUGGCAAAGGUAGCGCGUUGUGAAAGGGGUCGAAACCGCGGUGGAAAGCCCGUCUUUGUUGUUGUGCGGGAGAGUACGUGGUACGGUGCGGUAUCCGUUAUUAGGAGCGGUGGAAAAGAAUGUACGGAGGUGUUUAUGGUGGAGCUGGGAGGGGCUAGAAUAAGGGAAGAAGGCGGGAGUAACAUGUCGGACGCGAUCAUACCAGCACUAAAGCGACCGGAUCCCAUCAUAACUUCGAAGUUAAGCGUGCUUGGGCGAGAGUAGUACUAGGAUGGGUGACCUCCGGGAAGUCCUCGUGUUGCAUUCUC